rnacentral:misc_RNA from 1 species
UGGGCAUUGCGCCGUGUUC